rnacentral:lncRNA from 1 species
GCAAAUCUGUUUGGUUUAUUUAUUCUAUUUGUGGUCAAAACACGGUGGACCGGACGGCCACUUCCUCCCCAUCUCUUCUCCAGACUUCAAACCGAAACAUCAUAUAAAGAAGGAGAAGAAGAAGGAGACACAGACCCCAAGAGAAACGAGAAGAAACGAAAAGAAAAGAAAAAAAAGACCAAACGUAGAAUACCCAUCAAGCUCCUUUUGAUCCAAUCGAAUUUUGCCUCAUCUGUAAGUUUCCCACAUCUUUUCAUUUCCCUGCAGAUCUGAGCUACUGCUUUUAUAUGGGUUGUGUUUUGUUUUUUAAUUUUUUCCCUUUUUGUUUCUUUGUAUUUGUUGUUUUUAUGGAUAUGGGUUUUACGAGAAUGACAUUAUUUGGAUUGUUUUGGGUUAUAAAUGUGAAAUGGGGUUUUUCAUGUGAGAUAUUAGAAUUGUAUCAUCAGGAAACGUGAAAGGGAAAGGAGAUCUGGAUUAGGUCCUAUGAGAAAAGCUUAGGUAGAAGGUCAGUUCUUGAUUUGGAUUGAACCCAUUUGAGAAGGAUAGCUGAAUUAUUGAUAAUCUACUGAAAAAAGAGAAAGAAAUGAUAAAUGCCCCCAUGGUUAUAGCUUUUAAAUUCUUUUUCUAACGCCUUCAGAGCACUGAUAAUGCUGCACCUUCUAUGUUUUGCCGUACGAUCUGCUGGGAUCUCACAGAACACAGUAAAUUGGCUAAUUUUAUCUGAAUUGAUGUCAAGAAAAGUGUGAUGUGUGUAGUUUGAUGGCGACAAUGAGCUUUAUUGGAUGGUGCUGGUAUGAAUAUAUUUUGUUUAUUUUUAACUUUUUGUCUAGGCAUUGUAUAUUUUUCACGGAUUUGAGUUCUAAUUUUAUACUGGGAUGAAUUUGCCUUUUUUCAUUAUAUUGUUUUCCUCAUAAUGUAUAUUAUUGAUAUAGUUAUAAUGUUAAUCAUGAUGGAACUAAAAACUAGUAAAUUAAGAAUGAUAAGCAGGUUGUGUAGUGAUGAAGGGCUGGUGAUUUGUGGAUUUGAUUUCGUAUGAAAUCCUUCAAAAAUAUAUACAUAUAUAUAUAUAUAUAUAUAAUUUUUUUUUAAAUGACCUUUAAAAUAUAUAUGAUUGACUACUUUUUUCUUGUGUCGUAUACAUCAUCAGUGGUUGAUACCUUCCUAGUCCUGUUUGAGUUGACCGUGCACGUUCAUUUGUGUGUAGUAAUAAUUGUUUAUCAGAUAUAUUCUUACUGAGUAUACUUGGGGAUUUGAAGUGGGGUUACUGGGCUUUCUUAUUGAGUUUAACUUAUCAACAUUGGAUUGGAUUAUAAUAAUAAUAAUAAUUUUCUGAUUUGAAACAUAAUUUCUUUAAUUAAAAAAAGAAAAAGAAAAACUACAGUACAGCCAGCCAAUGUGCAACAAAGAGACAUUAGCUUAUCUUGUUUACUCAAUAAGCUAAACAUUAGGUAAUCACUUUUAGAGCCUUGCUUGAAAGCAGGCUUACUUGGUAGUUGGGUUAGUAUUCACUUAGAAGGAGACAAAUAGGCUUGAUUUUGUGGUAACUAAAUAGACUGAGGAGCUGCUUUGACAAUUAUAAUGAAUUGAACUCACUUGUAUGUUGCAAACAAACCUUAAGAAAUUUCAACUAUAGUUGGAGAAAAUUUCCGAAGAGUAUUUGAUUCUCAUGGUAAGACUACAUACGCUUUUAAAAAUUGCUUCAAUUUUGGUUAGGCAAUGGGGUAAACUAUUUUUUUUUAUGCUCCUUCCUGCAAUUCCAUCUGAUUUUACUACAUACAGUGUUGCAUCUUCAUGUUUCAGAAGUUUAUUAUAGUUAAGGUGCCUAUGAACAGUAGAAUAUAAUACUCAUGUAACUAGCCAUUAUUUCAAGUUAAUAUUCUUUCAGACAUUGUGAUCACAGAACUUGGUUCUUCUUUUUGGUAGGGUUUAGUUUGGGUUUUAGUUCUAAAUCUAUUUUCAUGCUGAGCUAAACGUUUAGCUCUUGCAAAUAUUAAGAUGCCAAGCUUCCAUCCAUCUGUAAAGUUUUGAACUUUUAUGGAAAUGCUAGGAGAAUAGGUCAUUCUUGUGCAUGGGUGCUUUUAUCUUCUUGCAUUGGACCUUGUCAGGUCUUAAUUUCUUAUUUUGGUAGAUGUAUGUGUGCUGUAUUGUUCACAUUUCUGGUGUACAUAAUCAAAUUGGCAUUGCCCUUCCUGAUCUAUUGCAUUAUUCUUAGUCAAGAAGAGCAUAUUAAAAGCUAUUAUGAAUGUAUUCCGUGGGUUCUUGGAGGAUUUCAGUAAAGUUGGAGAAAAGCAAGUUUCAUUGUAAAAUUUAUGUCAUUUGCUACUUGUAAUUUUCCUUGAAAGUUCGCCUUUAGUGCAUGUGCUAGUCAGUAUGCUUUUGCAAGAAUUUUGAUGCCUUACACGUUGCAGGAUGUUGACUUGCAUGAGAACUGUAGCUUGCUUUCUAGUACAUUUUCCAGAAGUAUGGUUCUCAUUUUGCAGUUGCAGUUUUUCAAAGAGAACCUCUUUUUGUUAAGGCAUAAAAUCAUCAUUUUGUUGAGCUGAUAUGAUCUUUCGUUGUGUUUCAGUUCGCUACUAGCCAAUAGGCUAUUUUAUGGAAAAUUUGGACUAAUUCGAGGGAAAAUUUCCAAGAACAAACUUACACAAAUUCUAUUGGAAAGUAUGUUUUAAUGGUACAGGUCCUUCAUUAUAUUAUUGUCUUCAGAAAAAUAUAUUGCAUCAUAAACUUGCUUCAAGGCGGAAUUAUUUAUAUUUCAGUUUUUAAAUUGAGGUCAGAUGUUGUUCUUCAUAAUGUAUAUCUGGGGACUUAAAGCAUUCUUUGUAUUGCAAGUCUUUUUCAAUGCUUUCUGGCAGGUGCUUCCCCAGAGAGCACUACAAAGUGCUAUUAGAACCCAGAAGCACUUUUCAAGAGUGUUUUAGCCCUCCCAUAAGCAUUUCCAAUCAGUACGCAUUGCUUGUUAUUUUGGUUUUUACUCUUUUUAUAGAAUUUAUAUACAUAUAUAUUAUAUUUUACCAUUCUAACUAAGAUUUGUCUUUGGAUGAUGGUUGAACUUUUUAUUUUGUGCUAGAGGUUGUGAAUUCAAGCUACAUGAUGUGCAAUUUUUUUAAAAUUCAUACUUACUCGACCUUUCAAACCUGAAUGGUGCUUGAACUCAGCCUGAAGCCUGAUGGGCUGAGUUCAAACCCUUUGGGCUAGGCUCAUUUUUGCUGGUCUGUCAAUGGUACUAUACCAUUUGAUUUAUGAUUUAGUAGGUUAAUCCCUUUGUUUAGUUGGUCUUCGUGGCAUAAAAUUCAGGAAUUUGUUUUCAGCAUUUGUUAAAACUUGUUUCUUGUUGCCGGUUCGCUCAUCCAAAGAAUGGUUUGAUAAUUUCACUGUAUUGACAUUUUUUGCUACAUCCUUCUUCACGUAUGAAUGUGACUGUUGAUUAUAACUGAAGACAAAUUUGUUAUUAUUAGUCAUGCUAGUGUGGUCGUGUUUUCCUUAACUGUAUCCCCUUGAUCUCUGCGUUUAACUGUGUCCUCGAUCUGUGUAACCUUGCUUGUAAUAUCAAUGAAUCUGUGAACACUUUCUCCUAAUGAUGAAAAUUUGGCUUUCUUAACUGUCCUCAUGCCCACAAGUGUGUGCAAACUUCAGGUAGUCUGAGCAAGGCCAGUACAUAUUAUACCAUGGUUCUUGACAGCAUUUUGUCUUCUCCUGUUCGGAAGUCAGCAUCAUUCAGAAAGCAAUUCUCACAAAAUGAGUUGGGUAGCUGGUCGACUCUAUUUCAGCGGCACCGCUUCCUGUUAACGGCCCUAGCUCUCCUGACUUUCCUCUGCACUGUUUAUCUUUACUUUGCUGUCACUUUAGGAGCCAGUCCAACAUGUUCUGGGUUGAGUGGAACUCAAAAAGCAUUGUGUCGUUUGGAGCAUGCAAAGACUUCAGUGGCCCAUGGAAAAUUGAAAAUUCUUUAGCAUGUAGAUGAUAAUGAUUUUCCGAAGUUUCUUUUUUCUUGGGUUCCUUUGAUUAGAGUGGAUUGCCAAUUUAAAUCGUACUACUGAAUUGUAGUGGGUUUUAUAUUUGUUCGUGAACUGAUUGAUUGGGUCAUAUAUACAUAAUAUUUGUAGUAUGGAAACACUGGUUUUACCAUAAUGAUUAUUUUUAUUCAAAGAAACUAAAGCAU